UACGUAGGUGGCAAGCGUUGUCCGGAUUUAUUGGGCGUAAAGCGAGCGCAGGCGGUUGUUUAAGUCUGAUGUGAAAGCCCUUGGCUCAACCAAGGAAGUGCAUCGGAAACUGGACAACUUGAGUGCAGAAGAGGACAGUGGAACUCCAUGUGUAGCGGUGAAAUGCGUAGAUAUAUGGAAGAACACCAGUGGCGAAGGCGGCUGUCUGGUCUGUAACUGACGCUGAGGCUCGAAAGCAUGGGUAGCGAAC
rnacentral:rRNA from 1 species